UGGUGGAGUGAUUUGUCUGCUUAAUUGCGAUAACGAACGAGACCUUGACCUGCUAAAUAGCCCCGUUCGCUUUGGCGGACGGCUGGCUUCUUAGAGGGACUUUUGGCUCAAGCCAAUGGAAGUACGAGGCAAAAACA
rnacentral:rRNA from 1 species